CCUACGGGAGGCUGCAGUGGGGGAUAUUGCACAAUGGGGGGAACCCUGAUGCAGCGACGCCGCGUGGGUGAAGAAGCGCCUCGGCGCGUAAAGCCCUGUCAGCAGGGAAGAAAAUGACGGUACCUGAAGAAGAAGCCCCGUCUAACUACGUGCCAGCAGCCGCCGCGAUACGUAGGGGGCAAGCGUUAUCCGGAUUUUCUGGGUGUAAAGGGGGCGCAGACGGCGAUGCAAGCCAGGAGUGAAAGCCCGGGGCCCAACCCCGGGACUGCUGUUGGAACUGGGUGGCUUGAGUGCAGGAGGGGCAGGCGGAAUUCCUGGUGUAGCGGUGAAAUGCGUAGAUAUCAGGAGGAACACCGGGGGCGAAGGCGGCCUGCUGGACUGCAACUGACGUUGAGGCCCGAAAGCGUGGGGAGCAAACAGGAUUAGAUACCCCUGUAGUC
rnacentral:rRNA from 1 species